AACGCGCAGAUGUCUAUAUGAGGCGGCGCUGGCGGAGAGUGCAGUACUUGGCAAACUUAUUUUGGACGCGUUGGAAGAGAGAAUAUCUCCCAACUCUCCAACCUCGUUCGAAGUGGAACAGUCCCAAACGGAAUCUAGCUGUCGGAGACGUUGUCCUGUUGAAAGACGACAACUGCCCGAGGAGUGUUUGGCCGAUGGGACGAGUCAUAAGCGCGGAAUCAGACAAGAAGGGGUUGGUACGCACGGUUCAUUUGAAGACCCAAACCUCCCAACUACGCAGACCAGUUGACAAGGUUGUCCUCUUGCUAGCUAAGGAAGAACAAUCGUGCCUCGAUAAUGAACAAUGAAACAGGAAGCUCGUAAGGGCUGAACCUUCAUGGAAUAUUCAUAGUCCCUAUUUCUUUAAGCGGAUUGUGUGACGGACUAGACUCGUUAGCUUUAGCAAAGGACAUGACAAGUUAUUUUUCAUAAUUACUACUUUAUUUUGUAGCUAAGAACUUUCCAUGUUAAGCAUCGCUUAAGGGGUCGGGAAUGUUACUGCCGUUAUGCGUGAUGUCACGCACUCAUUAGCUAGAUCCCGAGAGGCGCUGCGAGUUAAAAAAUACAUGUGCUCGAUCGAAGUGGAGAAUCGUUUCAACGCCCGUUUAACGUCAUCGUUUAUAUUAUAAGGACACAAACUUUUCGAAACCGUACAACGUUCGUUCAAGAUUGUAAAGUCCAUUUCAUAAUUACAAGUACGCGUGUUCAAGUU